ensembl:lncRNA
UUUUUUGUUUUUUGUUUUGUUUUGUUUGCUUUUUAGAGCUGCACCUAUGGCAUAUGAAAGCUCCCAGGCUAGGGGUCGAAUUGGAACUGCAGAGCUGCAGCUCCCAGCCUACACCAGAGCCAUAGCAACGUGGGAUCCCAGCCACAUCUGCGACCUAUACCAUAGCUCAUGGCAACACUGGAUCCUUAACCCACUGAGUGAGGCCUCAGAGGUUGAAACCCACAUCCUCAUGGAUACUAAUCAGGUUUGUAACCUGCUGAGCCACACUGGGAAAUCCCAGAGUAGUUUUCUUAAAUAAACUGAACCCUGACCUGGGUUAAGUGCCCUACAUUUAUCAUAUCAUUUCAUCGUCAGAGUAAUGGAUGAGUACGUAUUAAUACCUCACGUUUAUAGAUGAAGAAACCAAGGCUCAAAGGGAGGAAGGCACUUACUCAAUGUCACCAGGGAGUGAAUAGUGGAGCUAGGAUCAGAACCUGGAUCUUUUUAAACACCUAGGGUUCUGUGGGUUAUUAAUAGCCUAUUGUGGCUGCCAUGAUACUUUGCGUAUAAUUUCUUUCCAUUCUGGGCUCAUGAAAGUAAGAUUUUUGAGCAAAUCUAUUACCUGAAAUAUUGUGAAGAUUUCUUUCUUGAUCAACAAUCUGAUUAUUCUAUGACCUUUACUUUUAAGAAAAUGAGCAACCAGAUUAAAAAGUCCAUCUUGGUCUAUAGUCCUAAUUCUAGGAGGCCUAAUCUUUAUUUUCUUCAAGAAAGAUGUAAAGAGAGAAAGGGGUGGUGGAACAUAGUCUGAAUGGUUUAUUUGGGCAUUUUUCUUUUUUUGAACAACAGCUUUUGUCUAAAAAAUUAAAUGUGACAAGAAAUUAAUCCACAUUGUGAUCUAAUUAUUUUUAGAAUUAUGAGAAAAAUGUAAAGUGUCUCAACUAUUUCAUUUUGAAAAGUGUCUGCAGAAUUUAACUUUUAUUAUCUUUCAUAAAGAUUUUUAGUUUUUUUUGCCAUCCUUAAAUUGCAUUUUCAACCAUAGCUAAUGUUACUUUUGUGGUCAUAUAAGGUCACUGGCAUAUAAAGUAGGGUUUCUUAUAAAGCCUGACAUUAAAGGAUGUGUGACAUAUGAUGAUCUGGGUUUGUGCAAAUAUAAUUUAUCAAAUUGAUGAGUCAGAAUGUGGGAGCAAAUCAAAGACCCAGCCAUUUUCUUGACUUCAUUUAUGUCUCUGAAAGAUCAACUGUUAAGCAGGAAGGAACUCCAAACACGAGGAGUUUCCUUGUGAGGUGUUAAAAGCAAUAUCAACCUGACCCUGGAAAAUGUGACUGAAGUAAGACCAACAAUAAUAAAGGGAUUAGUAGGGAUGGAAUUAGUUAAUACAAAUAAAAAUAAUUGAAUUGGGAAAGAACUCACAAUUGUUACAUGUUAAUAAGGAAUGAUUUGGAGAUGUUAAGUCCCACCUACCUUCCCAAAAUAUGUUCCCCAACUGCAGGAUCUGGUGACCCAAAUUUGGAAUAUUGAAAAAGACCUUCAGGGGAAAAGGCACUGGAUCCAGAAGUCACCAAUCAAACCCAAGAAUGUACUCUAGGAAGAAACUUUCCUAAGUCAUCUACUCUCAGCAUUUGAUAGAGAAAGAGUCAUAGGUGAAGUACAAGAAGUUCUGGUAGGGGAAAGAGUGACGGAAAAGUAAUGAGAAAGGGGAGAACAUAGACCCCAACAAGAAAGGGUUCACAGUGGUGGUGGAACCUCCAGUGCUGCGGAAAGGAGCUCCAGAGAUGGGGAAAGCCAGAGGAUGCUACAUUUUAUUUACCUAGCAACUUUAUAGGCCCUUCAGUCCUUUGGGACCCUAAAUUCAGUGCUAGCACCUGGCUAUCUGUAAUUCCAAAUAUCCAUUCUCCUGAACACAACCUUUAAGCCCCAGGGAAACUCGUGUUCACUUCUCUUGUCCUAGUUCCUCAAAAGAAAUGUCAACCACGUCCAAAUGCCAUGCAUCCUGCGUCUAAGGUGGGAGCUAGAAGGGAUGGACUUUGCCUCAAAAUAUGAGAGAAUUUCAUCAGCAGCAGCUCUUUGGUAAAAGAAAUGACAAAUUAAUUAACCUAAGUUCUUCCCUUCAUAAAUCUCCAAUGCAAUGGAUUCUCACGUAAGCAAGCACUGUUUCCUGGCAAUGCCAAGUGCCCGUUUACUUUCUUCUCUUCUUUCUCCAACUGGGGAUUCCCAAGGUACCCACAUACUAACAUGGCAUCCAUCAUGGUCACACCUGGCUGCUAAUGUGUCUUAUUCUCGCAUUUGUAUAUAUACACGGGUCAAUAUGGAACAUGAGUAUGAUACCGAUUCUUUACAUUGACAGCUAGAUGGACAUUUAAUAAUGGAGCUGCAAAUAGUUUCUUAUGGUAAGAUUUCUAUUUUAUUUUAUUUUUUAAAUGAUUUUCUUUUUUCCCAUUAUAGCUGGUUUACAGUAUUCUGUUAAUUUACUAUAUAGCAAAGUGACCCAGUCACACAUACAUGUAUACAUUCUUUUUCUCACAUUAUCCUCCAUCAUGCUCCGUCAUAAGUGACUAGAUAGAGUUCUCAAUGCUAUACAGCAGGAUCUCAUUGCUUAUCCAUUCCAAAGGCAAUGGUUUGCAUCUAUUAACCCC